CCUACGGGAGGCAGCAGUGAGGGAUAUUGGUCAAUGGACGAGAGUCUGAACCAGCCAAGUAGCGUGAAGGAUGACUUCCCUAUGGGUGGUAAGCUUCUUUUAUAUGGGAGUAAAAUGUUCCACGUGUGGGAUUUUGUAUGUACCAUAUGAAUAAGGAUCGGCUAAAUCCGUGCCAGCAGCCGCGGUAAUACGGAGGAUCCGAGCGUUAUCCGGAUGUAUUGGGUUUAAGGGGAGCGUAGGUGGAUUGUUAAGUCAGUUGUGAAAGUUUGCGGCUCAACCGUAAAAUUGCAGUUGAAACUGGCAGUCUUGAGUACAGUAGAGGUGGGCGGAAUUCGUGGUGUAGCGGUGAAAUGCUUAGAUAUCACGAAGAACUCCGAUUGCGAAGGCAGCUCACUGGACUGCAACUGACACUGAGGCUCGAAAGUGUGGGGAUCAAACAGGAUUAGAUACCCCAGUAGUC
rnacentral:rRNA from 1 species